GCGCUUCCUAGAUCCCAGUAAGUUUGCUCAGAAGCCUCACACACUUGUUUCUCGAAGAACAUGCCCACAAAGUAUUUCACAGGCUGGGGGCCGAUUUCCUAGGCAACUCCUUCCUAGCCCGGGUGCGCUGCCUAUGUACUUUGCCAGCCCGCUCCCAACUCCACUCUCAGUAGAAGUCGGACGGCCGCCGGGAACCGGGGCUGCCUGCUCCGGGAUCAACGGGAUGGCGGGGCCGUGUGAACGCUCGCGCCGAAGCAUCCAGCGCUCUCCGGGUGUGGCAGGGCCGCGAGGCGUGCAGAGGCCUGGGAGGGGAGUCUCAGCCAGCAUGAGUGUUUGGGGUCACUGAGCGACUGGGGGGAGCGUCUGUAGUUACACAGCCAGCAAGGCGGCGCCUCGCCCGCUGGCUCUCUGCGCGGGGGGCACCAAGAUCACCCGCAGCGAACCCUGCUCUGGAGCCAGACACGGCACCAGCCUCCGCAUUCGCGGGUGGAGGGCUCGGCGGGCAGAGACGGAUGAGGACGCUGGAUUUGCAACAGAGGCAAGUUCCGAGGGUCCAUAUGAACCUUCUCUCCCUAGCAGGCCCAUCUGCCCAGACUCCUGUAUCAUAGAACCGAGGAUUCAGUAUCACUUUAGAAUAUUGAAUAUCGCCUGCUUUGAACAUACAGUAUGGCAAAAAGCGAUAAUUUAGCACAGAGAGCUACCCUGCUGAGAAAAAAUUCUAAAGGAAAAUUGUUAGCACCAGAGAUAUCUCAAAAUCCUGUGCCAGAUUCUGCAGUGUUCUGUGCAUGGACCUCCCAUUUGAGGCACUGGGAUCAGGAUACCUGGGAAACAGUGGAUGCCUUUUUGGGGACUCCAGGGUUCCCUUUUGGAUGGGAUUUCUGCCAACGAGGAAGGGAUGAAGGGCUUCAUCUGGGUGUCUGCUGGUGGAAUUGGGCAGAAUCCAGGAGUAAAUCUGGCUAUAAAACUGCAAUAUAUUUACAUUACUAUUGUUGUAUCAAGUUUUAUGGUAAAUACAUUUAUCACUAUAUAUAAGUACAAUGUACUCUAUCAUGUAGGAUGUUUACUAGAUAAUGUUUGAGUCUGAAUUUUGAAACCACAAUGCUUGAGAAUAUCCAAUAUUAAGUAAACCAAGUGCUUGUCCUUAAUGAAGAUGUCUCUUCUGUGCUAACAGUUGUAUGAGAAAUAUUGGAGAUAACUAAAAAACAUGUUUAUAAAUCAUACUGUACAAUACACACACAUACAUAUUAAGUCUCAUGCUAUGUAAGGUCUAGUAGUCAAAACAAACACUGGCUACCUGGCCAAAGAUACCAAGGUGCAAGAAUCUAAUCUGGUCUGAGCAAUAGUCAACUGUGUGACCUUGGGCAAGCAGCCUGACCCCUUGUGGCUUACUUUAUCCAUCUGUAAAACUGGGAAGAGCAGGACCUCAAUGACAAACAGAUGCUGCAUCUGAGUCAAGCCGUCUUGGGUAAAUAAAUUACAAAGAAGCUGAUGGCACAAUGUAAAGGCUAAUAAAGAGAAAAUGUGAGUCUUUGUCUCUUAUGCACACUUACCAUUAAACUGGCAGCAUACUGUGUUUACUCUUAUUGGGCAUGUUUAGUCUCACUGGGUAUCCAUCAAAACAGAUGUGGAGACACUGCUGUUUCCUGCAGUUCAAUGCAGUAGGAUUACUGUGUUUAGUCUCUUUGGAGUGGAU